rnacentral:lncRNA from 1 species
UCGCGCCCCAGGCCGGCGGCUCAUCGCGACUGGGAGGGCUGGGAGAGGGGGUCCCGGGAGCAGCGGGGCACACUGAACUCCGGAGAGCGGGCCGAGCAGGAGAGAACUCGCUCGCCGAGCCGCUGGCUCCAACCCCGGGCGUGCACUUGAACCCGCCGCGAGGCCGGCCACCCGUCGUGCUCGGAGCGCACCAGUGCCCCGGCCCGAGACGGGCGUGGGCCUCACACGUGGGCUCCUCGGCCUCACUUGGUGGAACGGCCGGGCCCACGGCGCUCGGCUGGGUGGGUGUGUGUGUGGGGGGGGAUCCCACCCGGUCCCCUGGGUUAGCAGCGCCGGGGCAGCGCACCCCACUCAGGGACCCUGAGUCUGAAGGCGGAGACCCAGGGUUGCCUGCGGCGAAGCUCGACUUACACUUCACUAUCCGAUUUGGAGAAAAUGUCACAGGAGGGGGGUAUGAAGAAAGAAAGAAAAAAACCCUCCAAAUAUGAUUUCGGGGGAGGGGGCGAGGGCCGAGGCGUGCGCGCGCGGCUGGGGCGGCGCGGCCCCGCGGGCGCCGGGCGGGGAUUCCCGGUCUCGCAGCGCGCCCUAGUGGACGCCCUGCCCGUAGCCCGCUCCGCGCCGCGCUCGCUCGGGCUCCCCCGCUCAUUACAAUCUGCAAUAUAUUAUUUCUCCCAAAGUAUUGACAAUGUGUGAGACUCCAAUAACCUCGGAGCUCUUGUCUGUAAUCAGCACAUUUAUUCACAUUUAGGGAGAAGAAUCCGAAUUAAAUCCCCGUGACCCAGAUUGGGUUACAGUGUCAUUUUCCCUGGAUCCUCUUUUAAAUCCACUCCACACUGCUUCUCUGUCUAUUACAUGCUAAUUUAAUUUUACUGUGGACGAUAUUUUCAGCAUUUGCUGAGGACAGUAAAUUUUGUAGUUUAUGUUAUUUCACUUUUUAUGACUUUUUAACACUUAAUAAAAUUUUAUUAGAGCACUUUUGUGUUUACAAGGCCACAAAACUCUUGGCAGGUUGUCAGAAGUCCUUUUUAUUAUGAUCCUACUGAUAUACUGCGAGUAAUGAAAUAAUCAUGUCCAGAAAUGUAUCAAAGGCCAGAGGGAUUAUCCCACUUAAUAGCUCCACAGAUGCGCCCAGAAGAAUGCGGACACGCGGCGGGACCGGCUGAGAGGCGGCGGGAGGAAGGAGGCAGCCCCCACGCCUUUCUUUACCAUUUCGGUUGCUUUCCUAAAAGGCUACAUGCAGGGUCAUGUGACUUUCCGCGGUCUCAAUAAAAAAAAAAAAAGAAUUUAUUCUAUUGCAAAAUGUGCUUUUCUUUUUAUUCUCCUUGUGUGGGCAUUUAAGGCUGUUCUAGUGGCAGUGGGGCUGGCUCAGCAAAUCCGUGUCAGUCACUUUCCUCUCAUUUCUAAGUGUACUUUUGUGGCAUUUAAGCAGCCGAUGGUGACAUUGGUGUUGAUCUUUGCGGCUGCUACAGCCCUUACGGAGAGGAGGCACUGGGAGGGACCCAGGAGGGCAAGAGAUGUUUGAAGGUCCUUCCCCGCAUCUUCUGCCGUUGCUUUUUGUUCGGUUUUGCAAAACAGGGAAAUAGUGACUUGAAGACGCCGCUGUCUGCCUUGUGCCACAGAACUACAGUAUGCUGCUUUUAUUUUAUUUUUAUUUUUUUGGUAAGACUUGCUAAGAGGACUGAGAUGUUGCAGUUUUUUUUUAAAGAACCAUUUCCUUUUCCUUUAAAUAUAUACAUGAUUAUUUAACACACUGGUGUUAAGUUCAUUCUUGCUGCAAAAGAAGGCCAUUGUACUUCCUGACCCUGAAAGCAAGGUGGGUGGCUUUGUUUUAUAAUCAAAUUUUCUGUCUCCAGCUUCAUAUUUCUUUUUCUGUUAUUUCCUGAAUAGUGUGCCAAAGUGAUCAAAGAGAUGAGGAAUAGAGUCAUAAAUGGAGUGAUUUUGAAAUUACUGUUACUAUGUCCAGAGCACGUGUUCUUUUAAACUUUGGCUCUGAGGGACUUUGGUGAUCUUUUUUACAAGUGUGUGUGUGUGUGUGUGUGUGUGUGUACAUGCGUGCGUGUGUGUUUCAUGUUCCAACACAUCACUUUCAGAUUUUGCAGUCUGUCAUUGUUUAAAACAACCCCUGGGAGGCAUGCCCCUCUCUGGAUUGCCUCCAUCACCCACAUGUGUGUGCUCUCCCGUCCUGAUGGACAUACGGCUGCUCACCAGGGCUCUUUGAUUUCAACUUCAAGGGAGCAAUUUUGUUCUUUGUAUGUCAUUUGCUAACCAGGGAUGAAACUUAGUGCCUGGUCUAAUAGUCUACUGUGUGUGCAGGACGGUCUAGGUUCUGAAAAGAGCAUAUGAAGGAUAGCACCCACCCCUUAAGAAAAAUUUACGUCUUGGGAUUAUUUGGGCAGCCAUUUUUCUCUUUUUUAUAGUGUUUUCCAUUUGCAAAUAUGAGAGGGGUUUUUUUUCCCUCUUUUUCAAGUGAUGUUUUUUUAACAUAGCUGAAAGAAAGUGACAUUUGGCUCUGAAUAAACAUUCUUCCUUCACUCUGGUUGUUACUGACAGUUUGUAUUCUUUCCCUUUUACCAAGAGACACAAGAGUGGACAGAGAAAUGGGUGCAGAUUUUGAGCUUUCCAAAUUUCAGAGCAUUUUACAUAAGGGAAUUUAUACCCAAGUACGGGAAUCAAGAGGAGCAUAUUAAUUUUAAUUCUGCUAUAAAGUGACAGUUCAAUUUUAUAAGUAAUUUGUGUCUAGGACAAUUUAAAUAAUACUUCAAAGGCUGUAAUAACAUGCAAGUUAGAAAUCUGUCUUAUUAGAUUAUGAAGCAAACCUCCCCUAAGGUAGAUAUUUUUAAUGCAUCAAAGUAUGUUUAUAAUUCUUAUUCGAAAGAGCAAGAGAUUGUCUUGAACACAGUAACCGAUGACACACGGCUUGAUCAAUGGAGGGCCUAACCAGCGUCCAAGGGGAUUUUACAGCCCCUUCUGAGGUAUUCAGAGCAGAGAGGAAAGAGUGAAGCCCCAAUCCUAUCAUCUAGGGAAUCCAGCUUCGAAAAGGGGAGUAAAGAAACCAAGCUGGAGGCAUGACAUUGGCCGCUCAGAUGAACAAAUGCAGUUAGCAGUAAGACAUGGGGAUGAUGAGGAAAGACCCUACAACUACUUUGCUGGGUCUUGAUCCAAUUCUGCAUAAUACUUGUGUGGCCUUGGACACGUUACCUCUCUGUGCUCAGUUUCUUCAUCUGUAAAAUGGGACCAAUGCUAGUACCUCCCACCUUUGGUUGAAGGGUGAAAAGAGCUCAUUUAGGGUCGCCUGGGUGGCUCAGUCGGUUAAGCGUCUGACUUCAGCUCAGGUCAUGAUCUCACAGCUUGUGGGUUUGAGCCCCACAUUGGGCUCUGGCUCUGACAGCUCAGAGCCUGGAGCCUGUUUCUCCCUCUCUCUGCCCCUCCCCUGCUCACACUCUGUCUCUGUCUCCGUCUCUCUCUCUCUCUCUCUCUCUCUCUCUGUCAAAUAAAUGAACAUUACAACAAUUUAUAAAAGAGUUAAUUUAUAUGAAAAUGUUUAAAACAGACCUUGAGCGCUGCUUAAAACAAACCCCAGGGAGAUUGACAUAUCCAUCACCUGGCACAUAGUCGAUGUCAAUAAAUGCUUGUUGGAUGAGUGUUGAAUGUUAUUUCAUUGACUGCACUGGUUGUUCAGGUGUGACCCAUGGGGACACAUGUUAUCAGCCUCAGGUCUCGACCUGACGCUACUGAGAAUAGAUAGAGCCCCAGGAAAAGUUGUGCCCAACUGCUCUUUUACUUUUCCUGUGGAAUUCUAUAUUGUUUCUCAAUUAACAAUUAGCUUAUAGUUUUUAGGGAAAGAGAGAGUUCAAAUUGCAGGGUCGGGGUGAGGGGUGGGGAGGAAGUCCUUAUACUAAGCACAGUGGCUUGUAUCGAAGUAACAGAAAACUGAUAAGUCAAUGUACCAAUACAUAUCAAAGCAUUCUCCGGUAUCAUCUAUGAUUUAGUAAGCAACAAUUGCAGGCACUAUGCUGAAUUCUUCGAUAUGUCAUUUUACUUCCUCCUCACGCUGACCUUCAUACAGGGAGUUAUCAAUGUGUGUUUUACAGGUAAGGCAGAUGAAGCUCAGAGAAGUCAAGGGACUUUCCCAAGGUCACACAGCUAGGAAAUGACAGACGUGGAAGUUUAACCCAGGGCCAUGGGAAUGUAAAAGCUAUGCAGUCAGUUGACCACUAUUCUACACUGCCUCCCAGUCUGCUUGGCUUUAUAGAACCCCUAAGCAAUCUGGUCAUUUACGAUUGUAUAAGCCCUGGUGAAAAUGGAAAAUGAUUAAGGCUGAAACCUAGGCCCACUGUUCUUGAAUCAUCUGUGUCUUGUGCAGUGAUCUGAAUGCUGGGCUCAAGGGAGUGAGAUACAGCGCUGCCUCCCAGGGGCUAUCCCCAACUGGUGCUUAAAAAGGGCCUGCAGAGAAGUCAGGAUUACUUUUCCCCCUUUGAAAAGCCAUGACGAUGCUGAACUUAGCUGACUUAGUCCUCACGCAACACGUGAAUGGAGUUGCAUGGAAAAGAGAGUGAGGAACCAGACCUUAGACAAGUGCGGGACAGCACAGGUUUUCCUUUUCACCGGGGGACUUUGAGGAUACCCACUCUCCAAAGAUAGUUGGUGGGUGUCCUAACCAUUUCAGGGAAAGAAGAACAACCUGAGACAAUAAGAAAAGCCUCGAUUCACAAAUAAGGUCUCUCAACGAGCAAGCCGUGGGUAACGCAGGGGUGCAUGGCUUUAACCACGUGAUGAAUUCUGCACCCUUAAAACGAACGUGCACAGAGCCCCAGAAGAGCGUAUCAAAGAGCUCGUUAAGUUGUUCUAGGGAAUAUUCAACACUGCUUUAGUACAAACCCAUCCCUCAAAGUCUCGAUUUUAGGUUUAGUGAGACUCCUCCCCCACCACUGAAAUAGUUAGAAUGAAUCUUCAACUUGAGACUUUGUGACUGUUCUUGCUGGGGGAAGGGGAGGGAAAGGGAGAGGAAACGGAGAGAUACCUCCAAAGGACUCAUAACUCGACAGAGACCAAGCUCACUGUGCGAAUGGAGAAGCAGGGGCUCUGCAAGCCUGGGGUUGCUCCUCGCGAAUCAAAGGCAAUUUCAGGCAGCGGUGGUUCGGGGUUGGCUCGGGUAUCAGGGGGUACCAGUCCUCUGAGAACAUGACGCAGGCACUUCAUUCACCUUUCAGUCUCCGAGUUGUUAUUUUUGAAAGAGAAAAGUCAUCCGAAUUUUCACGCGCAUUUAUGGGGCUUGGGAAAUUAAGGCUAUAUUUAGAGUUGGUUUUGAGCUCCUCACCAUGAAGUCUGAACUACAUUUUAAAAAAAAAUGGAUGAGUAACUGACUGUGUCUUGAUGAAUGUUUGAUUAGAACAAGAGAAAACAAAAAAGGCAACGUUAGCUGCUAAAUUUCAUCCCGCUAGUUUAAAAACGCAGCACUACCUACAACAGAGCUGAGGCUGGAAAUCUCUAGAAAGAACCCUGAAAGAAUUGAUGCUGAGGCCAUAUAUUGCAGCAGACAUAAUUUUAUUAGCCAUCCAAACUUUUAAGGACCUUGAGUCAUUUUCUUCAAAUUCGACUUGCCUUUCCUUCUGCAUCUGUGAAUUUGCCAAGUUAAAGUUUAUUGCUGAAACAGGUUUUGAAUGACAGUGUAUCUUUUUUGAAAAUGUCUGAGUACUUUUUGAUUAUUUGAUGGAAAGAAUGUAUGCUCUUCCCUUUUUAUGUAUCUUUCAAACCAGCUGCUCUGAUAUAAAUAACGAUCUUGGGGGAAAAUGUAUUCACCCUUUUUAAGCUAAGAGCAAACAUUCUGUUCCUUGAAAGUUCUAGCAUUACCGAAAGGAUGUCAUGAAUGAAAUGGUUCUCAGAGCUAGUCCAGUCAGCUAGCUUGGGGAUCAGACAUUCUUCCUCAAGUUUUGGAAUCAAGAAUGAAUGCCAUGGUCAGCAAACGCCAAAAUGCAAACCCAGAGGCAACAAAGCAGUGAGCAGGGGCAAACUCUGGAGGCCAGGAAGCCACUGGAAUCUGGUUGCUAGGAGACACUCGUCUUUCGCUGGCGGCAGGAACAUGUCCUUGAGCGUGGCUUCCCCCGUGGUUGGCUUUGGACAAGCCAUGAAUCAGUCUGUCCUCGCUGGUGCUGCCCUUCCCAAGGAGCCAACCAGCCCAUCGUGCAUGUGACACAGAGUGGCCAUGGGGGGUUCUGUUCCCUCAGAAAGUUUCUCCCACAUGCCCCGCCUUUCUGGUGUACUCUUCUGAAAUCAAUAGGCAUUUCGUGCGUCUCCUCGGGGUUGUGAGGAUGUGGAAAAAUAGAUUCCUGCACGGUGCUUUCAAUCUGUGGGAAUUUUAUGAAAUAAAAUGACACACAUCGAAUUGUAUGAAACAGCCUUCAGGUGCCGUAGGGAAAAAAGAGGGACAAGAUCAUGAGUUAAUAGGAAUUCAGAAAGGCUUCAUAGAGGAGAGGGAACUGGAAGCUGGGAGGACUUGUCGAGGGAGGGACGAUUCUGGCAAGAGAGCACCAGGUAGGCUGCAGAGGGCCCUCUCGGAGGUCCUUGAGGACAGCAGACUUGUCUUGCUGGCUUGCAGAAGCACCCCCAGGGCCUGGAUCAGUGCUUGGCAGGCAGUCUGUGCUCAGUCAAGGGCUGAAUGAAUGCAGGACUAUGAAGGUGUUGGCCCAUGAGUGGUGGGAGCUUGGAGUUUAUGGUAGUGUUCCAGGGAAAAGCCAGCUGAAAGAAUGUGAAAUGAGGAAGGUUAGUCUUAUUGUAUCAGAGUGACCGCAUCAGGAAGGGGUGAGAAAUGAGGUUGACCAGCUAAGGUGCAGCCUGGUUAUGAAAGCUCUUAAAAAUUAAGCAGAUUAAAAAAAAAAAAAAGAAUGAAGGAAGGAAGGAAGGAAGGAAGGAAGGGGCGCCUGGGUGGCUCAGUUGGUCAGGCAUCUGACUUGAUUUCGGCUCAGGUCACGAUCUCACGGUUUGUGAGUUCAAGCUUCAUGUCGGGCUCUGCACUGACAGUGUGGAGCCUGCUUGGGAUUCUCUCCUUCCCUCCUCUCUCUGCCCCUCCCCCUCCUUCCUUCCCUUCUUCUCUCUCUCUGUCUCAACACUUAAAAAAAUAAAAAUAAAUAAAUAAAUAAUAAAGGGGUGCUGGGAGUCCCCUUUGGAUCCUCUGUCUCCCUCUCUCUCUCUCUCUCUCUGCCCCUUCCUUGCUUGUGCUUUGUCUCAAACAAACAAACAAACAAACAUCAAAAAGAUUAAGCAGAAACUGUCUUCAAAAAUUCAGGCACUACUGAGAGAUUUUAAGCCUGGUGGAGAAGAAAAUUCUAUGGUUUACAAAUGCUCUUUUAAAUGUGCUGUCUCUUAAAUAUAUGCAGUUUAUCAUGUAUCAAUUAUAACUCACUGAAACUAUUGAAAAUGCACAAUCUCAUUAGAUGUUCAAUAUUUGGUGAAGUGCACCUUAUUAUUUUUACAGAUGAGGAAACAGACCCAGAGAGGCUCAUGGUUUGCCUGGGUUCAAAAGCUUCAGAUGACAAGCCAAGAUUUCUGGGUCUUCUGCCCCCACACACCUCUUUUGCUCAUUUCUGAAAGCAGCCUGGGUGAGGGGGGAGGCCACCUGGAAGAUGGUGACAAAUGGCCGGCUGUUGGUGAUGUGACCACAGAACUGGCUACAAGGAUGCGAGAGGAAGACAGGAGAGCGGUUUUCUCUCUCCUUCUGCCUUGCUUCUCCCUCUGCUUUGCUAGCUUUGCUUUUCCUCCCCUCCUCUUUCCUCUUCCCUACCAGCACCUCAGACCCCUGAGGGACAUUCCCUGUCAGGCAUCACGUAUGUGGGCUCCUUGACCAUCACAGCUGCCGUAGGAACAUAGGCAAGACUGUGCUGUCGGGGAGAGGAAAAGGCAACACCUUCCCCCUCCUCAUUUUUAUUGAGGUAGAAUUAACAUAUGGUAUUGUGUAUGUUUAAGAUGCACACCAGAAUGAUUUGAUAUUUGUCUAGAUUGCAACAUGACUACCACAAUAAGAUUAGUUAAUAUUUAUCACCACACAUAGGGGCCCCAUCCAAUCACGUAGUUCUUACAUAUGAGGAGAACGUUUAAGAUCUACCCUCCAGGAGCCUGGGUGGUUCAGUCAGUUAAGCACCUGACUCUUGAUUUUGGUGGAAGUCAUGCUCUCACAGUCAUGAGAUCAAGUUCCUUAUUGGGCUCUGCGCUAGGCAUGGAACCUGCUUAAGAUUCUCCCUCUGUCUCUGCACCCCACCUCAAACACACACACACACACACACACACACACACACACACACACACCUCUUAGCAACUCUUCAAAUAUACAAUACAGCAUUGCUAACCAUAGCUGUCACGUUGUACAUCACGUCCCCGGGACUUAUCUUACAACUGGAAGUUUGUACCAUUUGGCCCCCUUUACCUAAAUCACCCUCCUGCCCCACUCCCACCAACUACAAAUCUGAUCCCUGUUUCCACCAUAUCUGAUUUUUAAAAAUUCCACAUGUAAGUGAGAUUGCGCUGCAUUCCUCUUUCUUUGUCUGGCAUAUUUCACUUAGCAAAAUGCCUUCAAGAUCAACAACUUUUGAUCUGAAACGUUGUAUCUAUAGCCCCUCUGAGAGAGGUCUGAUGUAAAAGAGAACACAAAGAAUGAGAUUUGGAGCUCAUAAAAUAUUACUAACAUUUUUGGACCAUACCUGUGAAUGUUGCAUUUAACAUAUGCAUUUAAAAGACACUCACUCAGGGCGCCUGGGUGGCGCAGUCGGUUAAGCGUCCGACUUCAGCCAGGUCACGAUCUCGCGGUCCGUGAGUUCGAGCCCCGCGUCGGGCUCUGGGCUGAUGGCUCAGAGCCUGGAGCCUGCUUCCGAUUCUGUGUCUCCCUCUCUCUCUCUGCCCCUCCCCCGUUCAUGCUCUGUCUCUCUCUGUCUCAAAAAUAAAUAAAACGUUAAAAAAAUUUAAAAAAAAUAAAAUAAAAGACACUCACUCAACUCUCACAUGUGUGAGAUGUGUUAGUGACAAUCGCCUAAAGUUUCGACUUGAAUAUUAAUUGGCCUCAAAUGUGAGCAGUAGAGCAUGUGAGAGAAGCCGGGGAGUCCUGUGGGCUUUGGAGGGAGGUUUGCAGAGACUGAAAGUGCAAACCACAUCUUCCCACUUACUAGAUGUUACUGAACCUCUUUGGCCGUCAGUUUCUUCAUCUAUAAGAUGAGAAUAAUGAGUCCUACUUAACAGAUUCGUUGUAGCCAUUAAACAACAAAAUGAAAGGAAGGAAUGGAGCGCAGUGCGGUCUUGUGGCGAGCAAUCACCUUGUGAAUGGUAGCCACACGCAGCAACUUUUCCCCCAGCUCUGUCCCCAAGCCUGAAGAUUUGAUUUGUAAUGCUAUAAUUUUAAUGUUUUCCCCUAAUAGCUUCUUUAGCAGCUCUUUGUUUCCUGCCAAGUUGCCCAGGUAGAGUUACUCAGCAAAUGACACUGAAGAGUUUCUUAGUAAGUGUUUGUUGAGUGAAUGCAUGAAAUAAAUCACACCACAUCCAAAGCGAGUUUGUUUUCUCCCACCGGUCGCCGUAAGGAUUCUUUGUGAAGGGUGGUGGUGGUGGUUGGUGAGUCAUGUUGACAAACGGAGUGACUUGGCACAGGUGUUUCUGUGGGGUCCGGUGCUGGCCCAUCAACCCAAUAACUUGGAAAUUCUCUCUCAUCAUACUGCAAAGCAACCAGCAACCAUCCAGUUAACUAGUCGUUUUACAGAAAACACCUAGGCAGGAGUUUUCCCCCUGAAUCCCUUCCCCCACCUCCCCCACAGCCAGGCUAGGUUGACUCAUAGUUUCCCACCAACAAGUUUUACCCGAUGCUUUCUGUGACAGGGCCCACGUCCCCAAAGCACUCAGCCAACUGCCCUGGGGAGCGGGUGUGAUGGUCUCCUGUCCCUCUGGUCUUACUGGUUCCAAACAGUCAUUUUGCUCCUGGACGCCAGUUUGCAUCAUGAAGCCUGCGUCUACAAGCUGUGGAACAUCAGCAUUAAGCAGCUGAAUAAUGGCAAAUGGGAAUCGAAUUUUUUAAGAAAAACAAAACAGCAAAGAGAUCAAGAAGACUGCCAGAGUGAAAAGCAUUUGGGGGCUGUCAAGACACGUCUUCCAGAGGGGGAUUACACACAUAGCUAGAAACAAGAGGUCUUUUCUGAAUCAUACAUUCGGACACACACUUACCUUUUAGUCUUUUAGUUAUAUUUUGAAGGUGAAAAUCUUUUUUCUGAGUGUUAGGCCUGCGUUUUCCUUUAUUACCAGAAGCGCGUCUUCAGAUCCUAUUAAGAACGCUAGUGCUAAUAAGUAAUCUUGAACGGGUUCUAAGAUCCUUUAAACUUCAUUUCACACUAGUAGCUCCUUCGUCUGAAACUCAGAUUGCCAUGGAAGCGUCUAUUUCCAAGCCCAUGCUGAAGCCAAUCACUGCCACGGGGAUUGUCUUGAGCCAUCUCUCUUGGGAACCUGGCUCUACGUUUCUUUGAAUGAGCUCAGCCCAAGGCUCCUAUCCCUAAAGGAAAGUCAGAAGUGCGUCUGAGAAAUACUUUUAUUAGAUCAUUUAUCCAUCCAUCCAUCCAUCCAUCCCUUUAACAAACAUCUUCACACAGGCUAUCUAUUCUAAAAGGUAGGUGCCUUAUCUGUCUUCUCGUUUACUUUAUUUCCAAAGCUUCGCCCGUGCCUGCACAGGGUAACCACUAAAGGAAUAUUUGUCCAAUAAAUGAAUGAGCACUUACCACAUGCCCACUAUGUGUUGGAACUUGAGGUAUUGAUAUGAUAACACACAGUUCCUGCCUUUUUGGUACUGGCGAUCCUUUUUCACGAUAACUUUGGCCCCCGACAGAAAACUAGAUUUCAAGGCUGCUAACACUCUUUGUAUAUUCAAUUGACUAGCUCUUUCAAUAAUUGACUGUGUAAUGCACUAACACAGAUGCAAAGUUCCCUUCGGAGACAAAUGGUGGUGGUGGGCGGGGGGGGGGGCACUUCACAUCAGACAGACUCUCAUCAUUUCUUCCUAAAGUGCACAGCACCUCCAGUCACUAAUGGUUGUAGGAGACUUUGGGGACACUAAUCUUAAUGACUGCACCAUUUCCUAUGGGUCUUGUUAGUUCCUAAAACCAUCUGUAAGAAGUUAUUGUAUUUGGCUUUCUUAAGCCAUAUUUUUAAAGAAAGACAUUUAAUUAGUGCUUGUUAAGAUGUUGUGAGUGCUUUGGCCACCUCUCUCACCCCUGCUGUUUCUUCUUGGUCAGCACAUUUCUGGAAGUGUUGUUUCCGGAAAAGGGCAUUCGAUGCGUCUCUGUUGGGAAAACUGCUAUGCGUGUCCACACGCAGCAGGUCUCUGAUGGAGACUGAAGACACGGUCAGGCCGGCUGUGAAGAAAGGGCUCGUGUUCAUAGCAGCUACUCUGAAAGGCCCCUGGUUUUGACAUUUUUAUUGAGAAAGCCGAGUUUCAAAAUGGGUUUGGGACAGAUAACUACAGGAGUGUGCACCGCAGCCCUUGGGGAGAACGUCACAAAAGGGAGACGUAUCUGAAAUGGGAACUCGAAACACCUUUGUGAAGACUUCAUAGAAAGGAAUUUGCUCGAGAAGGCAUAUGUGUAGUUACUUUAAGAGACACAAGUGAAAACGGCAAAACCGGUCACGGCACUGAAAAAUCCACCACUGCUUACUGGAAGAACCUAGUUCGUUCAGUUUCGCAAAUAUUUGAUGCCAUCGUGAAAAAUUCAAACCACUUUACAAACCAAGACAAUGUUACCGAGUUUUCCCCAGAAUCCUUUAGCCGUAUUUGGAGGAGAGUGGUUUGAUAUUUGUAAUAGUUUAUGAAUCGCAAGUACAUGUCAAGUCUAGUUAUGCCCAAAGAAGUAUUUCAAGACAACACAAUGUGCAGCCAGUGAAAAUGAAGAAAUGAAGAAAUACGUGCACCUGGAUAGGUAUAGAACUUAUUCGUGCUUUGUCCCAGAAACACGCAUUUAAGGAACGAAAAGUUUCAUGCUGGUAGUUGCUUAAAGGAUAAUUCAAGCCAAUUCCCUUUCUCUUUGAAUUAGAAUGUGCUCCUUUAAGGUAAUCCUUAAUUGAAGAGGAAGUCCACUGAAUGUAAUAUAGACUUAACCAACUUAUGAAAUCUCCAUAUCCCACAUGUCAAGUGAUUUCUACUGGAAUCCGUUUUUUGCCUCCUUCAUCUAAACAUUUAAAUAUAUUAAAAGCUUCAGUGAAGGAUUAGCAUUUGGCCCUGGGUGUAAAAACAUUUCCUGCUGGGCCCUCCACCACUAACAAGCUUUUUGUUUGGGAGAGGGGUCAGGCGUGGGGGAGGGGGAGAAGAAGGGAGAGAAGGUGGCCAACUCUUGACAUCUGAAAUCUUGAUCAGUCCCAGCAGCAUUUUUGGUUUGCGCUGAUGAUUUGUGGUAUUGUUGUUUAUCAUUCACUGGGACUCACUGUUUGGAUGCAGAGGUCUCAAGACCAUCUGCAGUCUUGAUGGGUAUUAAAGCAGCCAGGCCAGACAUCUGGCUGUCAGUUAUAAUUGCCUCCCUGCCCCUGAAGUUGUUGUUGGAUAGUUCUGAUUCCCUUUGAACAUACUACUGUGAUGCAACAGUUUUAAGCCAUUGAUGUGAGAGACAGAGUCAAUUUCUGGCCUCCGUCUAGUUGGAAUCAAGAUUUAUGAAAGGAGGAGGGUAGUUAUUUUGCUGGAAGAGUGGCUGUUUUCGUCGCACUGGGUUUAACGAUACAACAGUUUCCUCUGCAGCUUGCACAACUCACUCUGAACACGGAGAGAAAUAACGCACUCGAAAAUUAUUUUCAUGGUGUAGCCACGUUUACGAUUUCCUGUUGCCUUGGCCUGAAAGUGUUUUAACAAAAAUUAGGGUUGCACACGCAAACAUUUGAGCCAGGGGAUAAAAGGAGUUGCUAUCAUGAUUCCCUUUCAGGUUAAUAUGGGUGCCUUUGAUAGAAGCACUAUAGACUUGGGACAGCAUAUGACACCAAUUAAAAACACGAAACUUAAUUUUUGGACUAAACAAUCACAUACUCCUUGUUCUGAUACCUGGUUGAGAGUUACUGACGUGACAUUUGUUUCCCAACCACAAUCGUAAAUUUAUUGGAUUGGCUUUACUUAAGGUACAGGGGGCAACUAGUAUUAGCACAUGCGAGAGCUUAGCAAUGUCUCUGAAAUUGUAAAGCAGCUAUUAUAAAGAGAACAUAUUCUUCCCAGUGACUGUCAGUACAAGGUCAAGAACUUAAGCAAACUCACUCCGUGAACCCUAGACUUACCCAUCUUGGUUGGAGGCAGAUUUUAACUUAAAACCCAAAUUUCAAAACCAAUCAAUUAAUUUUGCCUCAUAAAGUACAACAGGGAAAAUUUUAAAAAUAACCUCCCCUUAGCCUUAAAUCUAAAUUGGCAUUUUCACAAGAUUGUUAGUAUCUAUUGAAAACCGGCCAUAAAUAGUAACCACAGAAUAAUACAUUAUGAAUCGUUUAACAACAUGAAAAGCGGCGUAUUGUCUUUGGGUAACAACGUGUUUAAAUGAUAAAAUGGAAUAUUAGUGUUUAAUUUUAAUGCAAAAAAUAAUUAAAGUGAAGGCACGCAAAGGUAAGGAGCCAGGUCAACCUCCCCAUCUUUUCACUCGGACACCUUGUUUCACUCUAGCUAAUGAUCCUAUGAAAAAAGUAUUAGUGGUUUCGUUUCAGCCCCUGGUGGCCUGUGUCACAUACUGCAUGACCGGCUGGUGGGUCCUCCAGGGUUAUUUCUCAUUUAUAGACAGUAGCCUUUUAUAAUUCUGUCGGGGGUGGCGGGGAGAAGGGAGGGGAUCCUCUUCUAACCUAUUUAUUAUGCACUCGGAAACAGUGACAAUGUUUAUAAAGAUGGGUCUAGUUAAAUUUUGUAAGAACUUCCCACGUGUUCAAAUGUUCAAAUUCGAACCUACAACUCUAUAUACCAAGUGCUUGAGUAAAGUCAUUAUGUUUAAAAGAAAAAAGUCACUGCUGACUCGUACUCCAUGUGGAAAAUUACCAAACGCUGCAGUUUUCCUAACCACGAAAAUUCUCAUUUCCCAUGUGCACUUGGUUAGCUCCUCACUAUGUCCCCAAGGAGUCUAUGAGCAUCUGAGGCACUGCAGAAAAAUGAGAAUUUCCACACUUAAACAGAGCGAAGGCGGCAUUUUUUAAUGACUAAAACUAAGAGCAGAAGAAAUGGAAGAAGAGGGGACGAUGGGUCUUUGUUUUGUUUGGUUUUGUUUUUUUCUCCUAUAAAAAAUGAGCGUGGGGUUCCCAGGUGAGAGUCAAAUAUGGGCUUGCUCUUAAUUUUUACAGGACAUUUACUCUAAAAAAAAAAAAAGAAGAUGAAGAUAAAGAAAGAAUUUCCUCUUAAAUUUCCUAACUCUAAAUUGCACCGAGUGGAUGCUGAAAUGAAAGGAGGCAUCGAGGCCAAAUUCACCACAAGGCUUUUGUGAGCUGUGAGAAGUAAUUUCAGGAUCUGCGUUUUUUAUUUAGGUUUGCUUUUCCCUCUGAGCUCUAGUGUUUAUUUUUCACCAGUUCUUUCUAUUCUUUGGUGGAAUGUAUACUGCCGAUUCUUCCAGCAUCACACACACACACACACACACACACAGAGUUUCUAUAUAUUAAAGAAAAAUGAAUACCUUUAGUCCCUUGGUAACAAUAUUUUAAAAAAGCAGCUCGAUAUUUGGAUCAGAGAGUAGAAUACUUUCAAAGACAACUCUCGCGGGCACAAUGUGUUAACUGUUUUCUGUCCCACCAUUUUAUGGUGUGCGAGCGGACAGCAAAAUGGUGGUUCCAGCAUUUUGUUGUAUGAGGGCUCCUCCGCAGCUAGCUUCUGAUGGCAGAUUGCAGAACCAGUUUGGAUACCAAAAGAAAAGCCACCUUUCUCAGGCCCAGAGACCGAUUCAGUAAAGCAUACCCACAAAUUCUCCUCCGCUCUCUGCUUUGCAGAUGCUUAAGCAAAAUUUUAUAUAUACGCACAUAUAUAUAAAACAAAGAAAAUCCUGAUUAAAAUAAAAAAAUGCAACAGAAAUGAUAGUUCAAUCAAACACAGAACGCCCUAGUGUUGUUAAAUGCAUACGUUAUUAAUAGACCUAGACCCGGGAACGUCACAGUUAGUAAUCUACCUUGAGAAAAGAUCCAAGACAGAGUUAGCGUAGAGAAUGUGAAUGUUUUACUCGUGACUAAAUGAUCUUUCCAGAUCAAGGUUGAGGUCAUUGGCAAACUAGUUUAGGUGAACUCAUUCCAUAGUUAUUUGUGCAUGCAAAUCAGGGCUCUAAUUUUUUCUUAUAUUGCUGCCUUUUGUUCAUGAGAAGAUCUUUAACUGAUUCUUUAAAAUAAGGAUAUCAAAAUAAUUGAACAAUGUAAGAAUUAAACAUUGCUGAUAGCAUUCAUUUUUUUUAUUAGCUGCUAAAUAGAACCAAAGGUAAGAUAGAUUUUGACUUACCCUUAACUGGAUCUCAAAUAGAAGAGAGAUGAAUUUGAAUAAGAGAAGAAUUUGACAUUGCCCUCUAUUACCUACGGCUGAAUUACCACUCUCUUUUGUCUGAAGGAAAACAUUUUCUUCUUAAUGAGGUGUAUAUUUUUUAAGACUGAAGAAAACUGAGGCUCAUAGCAUAUAGGUUUGCAGGUUGUUGUUGUUUUUUUUUUUUUGCCUUUUGAUCGCAGUUGCUAAACAUUUGAGAUUAUAAAAACGAUGAUGCUACAUAAAACAGACCUGCAGCAACACUGUUUAUGGCACACACAAUAGUAUUAUUUUCUGCUGUUUGGUGUGCAGAAGUUGUAAAUAGGAAAAUGUGUAUGCUAUUAAAUCUAGUAGCAAUAGGACUCUUAAGGCAAGGUUUAUUAUACCAGCGCCUGGAAAAGCUUUACUUUUUUAUCUGUGGGUGUUAAAUUUUCGUGUUUGCAACAGUAUUUUAGCUUUGGAGCUAUUUAUCUGGUAGCAUCUUCGAGAAAAAGGAAAUGGACAGAUGUCCAUAAACAAAGGGCUCCACCUGGCGGCCAAGAGAAGGUAUGAAAUGUUGAAGAGAACUAACGCUGCAAAGGGAAACAGAUGGGAAAGGCAGUGUUUAGUGUGUUUCCUGUAACGAAUACGUUUGAAGGAAAGAGAAUGACACAGUUCCCAAAUUUGGACUUCAAUGUUUAUAUAGCUUUACAGCUAACUUCAUUUGAUUAUUUUCUUCAAAUUCAACCCUCCCAAUACAUUUCCAAAUUGUUGUAUUCCAAAUGCAUCCAUCGGAACAGCCAUUAACAUGUGACCCAGACAGAUAUUAAGCACAAUAGAGAAACUAUCCAUAUCAUGUGACCAUCUUACUUUUAAGUACAAUACUAACUAGUAGACAAAUUUAAACAAAGGAAGCAUUUGCUCCCACGCAAAGGUGUUCUGUGGGUGGCUUUGCGGUGAACCUAAUUAGUUGGAACUGGAAAGGAUGUGAUCCAGAAUUCAAUCAGCGGAGGGAAGAAAUAAUUUCAAAUCCAGGACUGAGAAACAGAAAAUUGCUCGUUUUUCAAUGGCAUUUGUGGCUAAAAUGUUGGAGAAUUUGAAUCGACAUGUUGUGACUCUUCCACCUUUUCAAACUCUAAAAUUAGACCAGAAAUUACAUAUAUCAAAUGCUAUGCAAAAUGUAAAAUAGGCAUAUGACGUUUAUGGCUCUCUACGUAAGGUGGAAAUUAAAUCUUCAGCCUCCAAUAAAAUUGUAUUUCUGUAAUAAAACUGCUGCACCUUGACUCUAGACUACAUUGAAUCCCAAAUUAAACACCCCAUUUACUGUACUGUAACAAGCAAAAGGGUUUGCUACACUGAACAAUAUUACAGAUAGAGAAAGGUAUUAUAUUUUGCUUUAACCUCUGUGUGGAGUCCACCAAAACAGGCUCAUUCCCCCAUGCCUUCUUUUUUAGAACAUAUUUUGACGAGGGAAAAUUUGGCGGUUUUUCUUUCACUGGUAACAUUUCUGUUUCUUCCUCCGUUAUAUAAAUCCGCAUAGGUGGCUGGGUCUAAGAAAGUCCAUUAAGUAGGAUAUUCACUACAAAAUGUCCUACUGCAUUUCAUGGAUAACUCGGUCCUAUGAAGCAGAACUGGCCGGCGUGCUAAAGGUUAGGUACAUUUCUUUAUGCAUUGUCUGUAAUGUAACUGCCCUGCCCUAUAACGUACAUGCAUGGUUCACCCCAUAGCCACGUCCGCAGCACACGCGUACUGCUGCAUAACGUAUGAAGGUCUUAAACUUAGGUUCUGCUAAUACAUGUUAUGUAUUUCUCUUACCCAGUGUUGAUGGAGAAGAAUUAGACGGGAUGUCAUUUUAGGCAGUCUAAUACCGUAGGUGGAUAUUUUUUCCCCCGUCGCGCUUUGGCCCAGCCAACAAUGACUUCUGGCAUUUGUGAAGGGGCUUAUUAGAAAUUAAAACCUACGGAGAGUGAAGCACAGAGAACGAUGAAUACUAAUGUUCAUCUUACCAAGUCAAGGCAGGCGAGCCAGACAGGGAGCCGUGCCUCCCUCGGUCUCAGGCGUCCUGCCUGCCGAGCCACCCUCUAGUGGACUGAAGGGGAAAUUCCCUCUCCCGCCGCCUCCGCGGCUCCUCUUUUCCUGCUUACGCUCCCCUCCUCGCCCCCCUCCCCUCCCCCCCCCCCCCCCCCCCCCCCCCAUUCUCCGGAGAUGGUGGGUAUUAUUAACCUUCAAGCGCGAUACAGCGAGAUGAAUGUUAAUCGUGAAGGGAUUUCUAAUCGAGUUUAAUGGUGUAGGACAUAAGAAGUUGUGUUAGCAGUUUUAGUCCUGCUAAAAUGCUAAUUGUUAUGUUGCCUAUGAUAGGUGAGGAGAGUAUGAAAAUGGCAACAGCUUCAGUGUUCCAAUUUGGAAAUUGUUGCCUAUAAUUUUGAGGCAAGUAUGGAGACAGGGGAUAGAGUCCUUAGUAUGAAGGACUUGUCGAGAGGCUAACUUCUUCAAAGACACGGGGGAUUUGGAGCUUGAGGUCUACUCAGUUUGAAAAGAGAAUUCUCUGCGGUGAGAAAUCCUAGUAUCGGAAGCCAUGGAGAGGCAUUUUGGAUCCGCAAACAACACGUGUUUACACAAAAGGAUGCAGAGGUCAUAAUGUUGAGUACCGAUCUUUGGAGCACUUUCUCAUGUUCAUGUUUCCCUCUGUGGUUCGUUGCCACUUUCGCCAACAUGCAAAGGUAAUUUCUUUUAAAGCGGCUGCACAUAGUAAGAAUGGGGGGGAGUCCUAGAUGAGAACCCAGGGAAUCCCCAUUUUUGUCUUCCGUCUCUCUCCUUGACGCAGAGCACAGUCAUUAUCUGCGCUCUUGUGUAAGGACCCCCUACUGUACCCAGCUUCAAAGCUCCCUCCCAUGCUUGUAGAGGUGGCACCUCAUGUACCCCUGUCCUCUGUCCUGGCUGUUUGAGCUGGGGUUCUUGCAAGGCAGAUGAUGCACAAGGAAGUAGAGAGUAUUGAUGGUGUAAGAGCAAGGUCUUCAGUGUAUAUUUUUACUUGACUUCACUUACCCUAAUUUCUAUAGUUCAAGCCGAAACCACUAUAGUACUGUCAUCAUGUCGCCUACCAACGAGCUGGAGAGCAUUUUGCAGCAGGUGCACGUUACCUGUUGAAUGGGUAUCUUGUGGGGUUUCCUUGUAUUUUUGUAGUUUACAUAAUUAGUCUGAGUGUAGAAAACAUCUAAGUGAGAAAUACAGAUGACCAAAACAUAAUCCACCUUAAUGGAUACAUGCCUAUGUGAGUAUGGACCAUUGUAAUUGUACUGUCCCAGCCUCCAUAUGUGGCUUUUGUCAUCAUUUUUUUUUUUUUUACAGACUUCUUAAAAAAGUGAUUCAGUGUAGAGGAGAUAGAAAUGAUCUUGGAUGUUGACAUGAGAUGUGAAAUCAGUGGUCAACCUUAUUUUCCCGUCAAUAAUGCUAAUUAUAGUAAUUAGUCCAGGCGUCACACCUGUGCUAAAACCCUUAUCCCUAUUUUGCAGAUGAAGUAACUGAGACACCAAAGGUUAAUUGCUUGCCCGAAGCCAUGUAGCAACUCAGUCUAUACCACAAUUUUAAUCUCCUACUCUUGCUUCUUUGGCAAUGGAACAAUUAUGCCUCUCUUUAAAGAAGGAAAAUUUAUCGUGUGUAUCACAGGAAAUUAGAGCUGAUGAACAAUGGAACAAAGAGGUCACAUAUUAUUUGUUUUAAAAUUGCGGGAUCUUUCUCAUGUUAGAGAGUCUUUUACUGUGUUUUCUGGGUUGGUGCUACGUUAAUGUGUUAAAGCUACACAUAUAUUUUAACAGAAUCGAUAGUUACCCAUGCAGGUGAGGAGAUGGUACUUAGAGAUGGGACAGACGUGUCCCUCGUUUGAAGGUGAAUUUAGUGAGAUAUCAAAUUUUCUUUUCAUUUUCUUUCCCAGAAGAAUAUGUGUUUCUUUUUUCCCCUACCCAAAUGUUUCAGUGAACAUUGCAGCUGUGCAGCAAGAGGCAGUUUUGCAUGCAUAUAUU